rnacentral:rRNA from 1 species
AUUGAACGCUGGCGGCAUGCUUUACACAUGCAAGUCGAACGGUAACAGGCCGCAAGGUGCUGACGAGUGGCGAACGGGUGAGUAAUGCAUCGGAACGUGCCCAGCCGUGGGGGAUAACUACUCGAAAGAGUAGCUAAUACCGCAUACGAUCUGUGGAUGAAAGCGGGGGACCGUAAGGCCUCGCGCGAUUGGAGCGGCCGAUGUCAGAUUAGGUAGUUGGUGGGGUAAAGGCUCACCAAGCCAACGAUCUGUAGCUGGUCUGAGAGGACGACCAGCCACACUGGGACUGAGACACGGCCCAGACUCCUACGGGAGGCAGCAGUGGGGAAUUUUGGACAAUGGGCGCAAGCCUGAUCCAGCAAUGCCGCGUGCAGGAAGAAGGCCUUCGGGUUGUAAACUGCUUUUGUACGGAACGAAACGGCUCUGGUUAAUACCCGGGGCUAAUGACGGUACCGUAAGAAUAAGCACCGGCUAACUACGUG